GGGAAAAAAUAAAAACCAGCACGGAAAAAAUACAAACCAGCACAGAGUCGAUUCACAAAGAACACAAACGUCAUCUUGUGUUGUUGGUGGCUGAAUCAAUGGAGUACAGGAUCUCAUUUUAAAUGUUAUCUCAUACCUGCUGCCACUGCCAGAAGAACAAAAACCAUGACAGCUUGUGCUUAAAGACAAGGAAACAAGCGGACUGGACUGAAACGAUCAUCAAAAGAGCACAAUUCAUAUCAGGAAAUCUGUAAAAACUCCACACGAGUCUUCCAGGCAUCAUGAUCCUCCUUUCUAUUUCCAUCUUCUGGCUCUCUGUCUGUGUGGACCCCAUCAGUGCAGAUCCUCCCAUUACUGUAGAAGCUCAUGUGGGUUCCACAGCUCUCCUGCAAUGUAACCUGAGUAAAGUCUUCACCCAAACAUCAGUUAUUCAGUGGCGUUCUGAUAAUGAGGUUGUGUUUGAGAGAAGCUUUGAUGGUACACAUGAGGGUCCAGGAUAUGAGGACGUGUGGAUGUUCCUGAGGACGAGCUGCGUAAAGGAAACUGUUCUCU